rnacentral:lncRNA from 1 species
UCCAACGCCUCGUUUGCGGUUGUAAGAACGUACAACUGCAAAACAAUAUUUAACGUUGACAACAAACAGUUUCAAGGGAAAAGCUGAUUGGAUUAGCGGAAAAGAUAGCGUUAUAUAAAUCGUUAUAGUGUAAUCGUAAAGUCAAUUGAAAAGUUUUCGACAACGAAGAUAAGGGUCUUCUGCCGUUUGUGUAAAGAGAUAAUAUCAAGAAUGGAGAACGUAUCAAAACUGAUUAUUUUAUGGACAAUUUGUGUUUCAAACACAGAAAGUAAAGACCUAUCACAGAGAGAAAAGCGAUUUAUUCUGCCAGCGGACACAGUUACUAGCACGCCAUCGUUUCCGACGCCAACGACGUUUCCGUCUCCAUUACCGAACCGAAGAUACACAACAUAUACACAGACUGGACGGACGUCUUUUUUUACCGGGACUUCUUUGAUAACUUCUGUUAAAGUGCAAUGUCCGCAUAAAAGAAGUGUCGGUUAUCACAGGGUUUUACUAGACGACAAUCUUAUGCAAGAGCUUUACUUGAAGCUUAUAGGAAAUAUAGAUGACAAUACUUUUGCAGGCAGCCUAUUUGACGCUGAAACCAACUUCAAACAUAUGAUAACAUUGCCAACAAAUAAAACACAUAAUCAUCACCAUGGUAAUAACCGGCAGAAAGUCCCAAUUCGUCAGAGACUUGACAACAUAUCAGACUUGGUAUGACUCUGUAUUAAAAGAUCUUCAUAGCAAAAACGAUACAUACAACCACAGUAAAACCUCAGCUGAUGGUUCUGGCAGACCAGCUUGAUGAUAAUACUGAAAAGGAAAGAGGUUACAAGACAACAAUUGAAACAACUCCUCGGGAUUGGCACAUGAUAUAGAUGUGAUCAAAGAAUUCCGACUAUCUAACAGACGAAUUAAAAGAGACACAAUAGGUGCUGUACAGUCCAGAACUGAAUAUUGCCAUCAACGCGGAAGUCCAACCGGAACUGGAUACCUGCACAUGUGUUCCGAAUGUGCAAUGACGACGCAAUUUCCGGAAGACAUGUUUCCACGUUACACAAACGAAAUAACGUGUGAUGAGUCAGACUUGUGACUGCUUCCAAGUGCAAAAUACAGCACAUGGUAAAUGUCGGCCAAUAGUGAAAAAUAUCCAAAUGUUGAAACGGAGGACAGAUGGAUGUCGAAUGGUGAUUAAGAACGGACAAAAUGUAAUUGUGGAUGACUGGGAAAUUUAUGAACAACCCUUGCACGUCGGUUGUGAAUGCAUGUUCAAGAAAAACUCCCUCUUCGCGCGCUUCAUACCAAAGCAAUAACUUUCUUGCACUUUGGUUGUAGUACAUUUGUUACAUAUUUGGCAGCAAGAUGAAAAUAUCUGAGUCUAUUGCUGUUGCGAGUGGACACUCCUUUUGGCAUGAUGGAAACGUCUUGCCUCAACGGUCGUCAAGUUUUAAAGGACCAUCUGGCUAAAGUGAAUCUUUGCUAGUAUCAAUAUUUUAAAAUAUGUAACUUUAUGAACAUUUCAAUCCAUUAUUCAUCACUAUUACAUUUCCGAAAUUAAUUCUAUAUGUUUUAAAAAGAAUUUCAAAAUGUGUAAGUGGCAUAUCAGUUGAAAGUCUCUAAAUGGAGUAAAUAUUAUGAUUUGAAUUUCAUGCAGACUUUGUAAUUUCUCAAAUAUCUGUCUUUGGUUUCAGCAAUAUUAAGUAACAUUUUUGUUAUCACAGUAUUUCUGUUUUAAAUAAAAUAAGUAUAGAAGAUAACUGUUCUUGAAGGAAACAAAACAGAAAUCGCUAAGUUUGUCAAUUUCAUUUUUUAAACUGUAUUGGUCAUCUAAAGCUUCAGUAAAUUUGUAAAUUGGCACAGAUGGUCCUUUGGUCAUAGCAGGUUGCUUGAUCAAAGUUUGUGAUUUUUCAAUCUAACAUAUAUAUGUUAUGCUGUGAGACAAUCAGUUUUAAACUGAGAUGUCAUGUACAUACUUCUUACAGUUUGAAACUUGCUUAUUUAUUUUUGACCUGUAAUACGGUCGUUAAAUUUGUGGUGCAUUUUUGUUUGUAAAUAUAAUCACGACAUUUACUUGGCAUUGUAUAGUUGCAUAAUUUGGUAUGUGCAAUAGUGUAUAUCGUAUAUAUAGUAUGAUCCAUGUCGACGAGGUUUUGUUAGAGAAUUUGUUUACAAAAUCUAAUAUUAUUGUGUAAAAUAAUUCAGGCUUUUACAUUUUUUUAAAAUAGUUUUUCUUUGCGCAUUUGAAUUAAUGCUAGUAUUUCACUUUAUGAAUUAUGAUACAAUAUAGAAUUGUUCUUAACGCCAUUGGAUAAAACAAGUAUAUAAAUUGUGUAUCAAUGCUUCAUGUAGGACCUACUCAGAUGUUCAAAAUGAAUCUUGAACUGUAUAUGAUAAGUCAUACAAUCUUCCACUUUUUGAUUAUAACUGUGUCAGAUGGGGUGGUACAUCUGCCUACAACUAAAGACAGCUUGUCUAAACUUCAACAACUGUGCGGCUAGGAUGAUUAUUAAAAGUGACAGUAUCAUAUUCUCAGCGAAGUAAAAAAAAACAUGUUUUUAACUCAGUAUGAACUGCAUUGAAAGUUAAUUAUUUAUCCAACAUACGUUUCCAUAUUAGCUAGUAUACGCUCCAGGGUGUAAAAUUGUAAACAAGCCUCAUUUGGAUGGCAUGUAUUAUGUUUGAAGUAAUAAAUUAUGACAUCAAUUUGAGCCUAUCUGUGCAGCUCGUCUGGGUGAACUAUGUAAGGCAUUAAUAUCCAGCGCUAGAUGUAAGAUAGCCCAAAGGAGAGGGUGCUGUUUUGCCUAGUUCCUUUCCAUAUUUCCUGAUUUGUGCAUAGCAUUCUUAAUAACUACCAUCAUCCUUAAUACCAUCCACAUUUUGUUUGCAUUUGUACACCUUACAUUCUUCUCAUUCGUGAGUUCUCACACAUUGUAAAUUCCAUAAAAGUAUCAUUUUAAUUGCAUUUUAAAAUAGUGUAUUCAUUAUAAUUUACACAAUUUCUAUCGUUUGUUCCUCAGUAAAUUAUACUUUAUGGUGUUGUUUUCUAAUUCGCAUACAAAAUCCUGUCACAACAUACUUUUCUCUUUGUUUUCUUCAUUUUUUCUUCUUUUUUGUCUUAUCACUAACUGUUAUUGUCUUUGUAGUGUUGACAUUUUUAUAUAAUUUGUUAUGUUUUCUUUCGUCUAUUUCUGUAAUAAUAAAUAAUUAAUUUACACUAUUGCUGCGUUUUAAAUGUAAUCCAACGUUUUCCUGUACAUUUGUCAUAUAGGAGUUUUUAGGGUUUUGGUGCGCGGAUUACAAAUAACAUUAUUCUUGAACAACAUGUAUAUACUUUUAGCUCUGAUGUUGCCUAGAAAUUGAAUUCCUUUUAUACUACUACAUGAUGUUUUUUUGCCAUUUUGCCAUUAAGGAUUAGUUUGUUCAAAAUACGUUAAUUUAAUUCAUGUUCUGGGUUACAUGCUAAGAACGGAAUUUUAGAGGACCGUAUGUUAGACUGGCUAUAGCCAAUUGUGUUAUCCUUGUUAAAUAAAGUUAUUCUAUUAUUGUUAUUAUUAAAAUGCAAGGUGCUGUAGAGUUUAAUCAGAUACUUUUACUCAUUUUAAUGUUGUUCAAAAAUUAAUAUUUAUUAACGAUUUCAUUAAUUAUGGAUUUAAUGAAAUAUUUUUGUAAUUUAAUAUUUCUCUUAAUAUUUGUUUAAAACUGCGUUGCGUUUCUUAUGGUGUUUUAAAUAAGUUGUAACUAAGCACACUUAUGAAAUACAAAUACAUGUAAUUGUUGCUUUGGAAAUGCUAAUGAUGAACUUAAAUACAGGAAAAACAUUUUAAGCAAGUUCUUUUUAACUUUUCGGCCAUUCCUUACACCUUGAAGACAUGAACGGUUCUGUUAACGGUUGACAGUUGGAAAUUUUGGAAACUAUAUUUGUUAUGAGAUUUGCAAAAAUCCACAUUUAGUAUGAAACCUUAUGAAUCAGGCAGCUAGAAGACGCUAAUAUUGGAUGCAGUUUUAAAUGCUUUUCUUUAGCAAGAAUGAAAAAUAAUAAAACUUAAACACACCUGAAUUAACACGAUGUUGCUUGUUUUAGUUUAAAAUUACGCUGUAAUGAAAGUGUUUCCACCUGUCCAAUGCUAAAGCGAAACAUAAUUAAUGUUGGGUUUAGUAACUGUAACUUCUUUUUACUUUUUUCAAUGUUGACAGUCCAUCUUGAUUUUGAUUCCAUACCUCAUCUUUUUAGUUUGAUGUAGCUGUGAUAUGAAAUCAAACUUUAGUCCUGUUUGGCGCCAUAUAAUCUCUAUCAUGUUGGUGUGCCGUAAAACCCAAAUUAAAUCAGUGUCAUUUGGUGUAAAACUCAUCUAUUAAUGAUUGCUCUCUGUAUAUUGCUUUUUCUAUGAUAAAUUUUAUUUAUUUUUCGAAAACGUCAUUAUUACGUCAUCGAUCAUAACUGCACUCGUGCACAAUUGCAACAUACAAUUUGAAGAAGCGUACUGCAUGUGAGUGACAUGUUUUAGCCUAUGCAUGAUUUGUUCAGUAUUGUCGACUUAUCGAUAUAAAAAUCUUACAUUUUUUUGAGUCACAUAUAGCAUAUUGAUGGUCGACCUAUUACCAUUGGCGGCUAUAGAAAACUUGGGUACAAAGAAAUUUAUUUUUGGGCUGUAGGGUAAAACAUUGUUUAUUUAGAAUCAUAUGCAUUAAUUAAAUAGGAGACGUUAAAGGUUACAAUAAAUGUUAUAUAGACCUUUGAAAAUAAACGUUUGAAGUAGAUUCUGUGUGGAAGUGGUAUACACCAUUUAAAACUUAUAUAUAUCGACAUAAUUAUGAUAAUACACUGAUGUAGAUCUCCCACCAACUUUUGAAUAAAAACUUGUAAACAUGGCGUGAUCACUCAUGCUGCUUUGUAAGUUCAAUGUCAAGGUCUUAUAUCUUCAUUUAAAAAAAUCUCCGUGAAAAGAUGGACUGAAUAAACUAUUAACACAUGAAAUCUAAUUUGUACAUUUAUUUUGUCAAAUAGGCUUUUUAUUUUAAAGUCAAAGUAUAAAUGCUGAAUUGACAGAAUAAUUAAUUUUGUACAAACAUUCUUAUCUUGUUUUAUUUCAUUGAAUUUUUUCUUCAUUCUGAUGUCAUCAAUACUUGAAUUUGUCAAAGUUUUUGUUGUUAAAAUUUUAAUAAAAAUUAAAUUCAGUU